AUGGAGGUGAUGAUCCUUUCCCCAUAUUAUCGACUAUGAUUAUAAUAUGCGUUUUGUUUAAAUCUCUCUCAACAGGAGAUUUUCCAAGCCAGUACUCUGAUCCAU